UACGGAGGGGGCUAGCGUUGUUCGGAAUUACUGGGCGUAAAGCGCACGUAGGCGGCUUUGCAAGUUAGAGGUGAAAGCCCGGAGCUCAACUCCGGAAUUGCCUUUAAGACUGCAUCGCUAGAACGUCGGAGAGGUGAGUGGAAUUCCGAGUGUAGAGGUGAAAUUCGUAGAUAUUCGGAAGAACACCAGUGGCGAAGGCGACUCACUGGACGACUGUUGACGCUGAGGUGCGAAAGCGUGGGGAGCAAACAGG
rnacentral:rRNA from 1 species